AACGAAACGUGGCAUGCCCUUUUCUCUCGGUAAUUUUCAAUAAAAUAAGCAUAUUAGCAGACAAGCAGACAGAGAGAGCAAGACGGUGAUAAUUUGAUUCUUCAAGUCUUUGAUUGAAGGUGAAAGAGAAGAAGAUGGCAGAUGAUUCAGAGUCAUUCUUUAGGAAGCACUGGGAAGGUUACAAGGAGUUUUGGGGUGAGAGAUUUUCCUUUCUAGAGAAUUAUUCAAGGUUCAUCAAG
rnacentral:misc_RNA from 1 species